UACAGAGGGUGCAAGCGUUGUUCGGAUUUACUGGGCAUAAAGCGCGCGUAGGCGGCUUGGCAAGUCGGGGGUGAAAGCCCGCAGCUCAACUGCGGAACUGCCUUCGAUACUGCCGGGCUUGAGGGCGGGAGGGGUGAUUGGAACUCCAGGUGUAGCGGUGAAGUGCGUAGAUAUCUGGAGGAACACCGGAGGCGAAGGCGAAUCACUGGACCGCUUCUGACGCUGAGGCGCGAAAGCUAGGGGAGCAAACAGG
rnacentral:rRNA from 1 species